rnacentral:rRNA from 1 species
AUCCAGACUCCUACGGGAGGCAGCAGUGGGGGAUAUUGCACAAUGGGGGAAACCCUGAUGCAGCGACACCGCGUGGGUGAAGAAGCGCUUCGGCGUGUAAAGCCCUAUCAGUGGGGAAGAAAAAGGACGGUACCCAAAGAAGAAGCACCGGCUAAAUACGUGCCAGCAGCCGCGGUAAUACGUAUGGUGCAAGCGUUAUCCGGAAUGACUGGGUGUAAAGGGAGCGCAGGCGGCACGCUAAGCCUGAUGUGAAAACCCGCGGCCCAACCGCGGGAGUGCAUUGGGAACUGGCGAGCUAGAGUACCGGAGGGGCAGGCGGAAUUCCUAGUGUAGCGGUGAAAUGCGUAGAUAUUAGGAGGAACACCAGUGGCGAAGGCGGCCUGCUGGACGGAGACUGACGCUGAGGCUCGAAAGCGUGGGGAGCAAACAGGAUUAGAUACCCUCGUAGAC